CCUACGGGGGGCUGCAGUGAGGAAUAUUGGUCAAUGGGCGCGAGCCUGAACCAGCCAAGUCGCGUGAGGGAAGACGGCCCUACGGGUUGUAAACCUCUUUUGCCGGGGAGCAACGGGCGCCACGUGUGGCGCCACUGAGAGUACCCGGAGAAAAAGCAUCGGCUAACUCCGUGCCAGCAGCCGCGGUAAUACGGAGGAUGCGAGCGUUAUCCGGAUUUAUUGGGUUUAAAGGGUGCGUAGGCGGAGCGUUAAGUCAGUGGUCAAAUUGAGGGGCUCAACCCCUUCCCGCCAUUGAAACUGGCGCUCUUGAGUGGAAGAGAAGUAUGCGGAAUGCGUGGUGUAGCGGUGAAAUGCAUAGAUAUCGCGCAGAACCCCGAUUGCGAAGGCAGCGUGCCGUGCCGCCACUGACGCUGAGGCACGAAAGCGCGGGGAUCGAACAGGAUUAGAUACCCGAGUAGUC
rnacentral:rRNA from 1 species